rnacentral:rRNA from 1 species
AUUGAACGCUGUCGGCAGGCUUAACACAUGCAAGUCGAGCGGCAGCGGAAAGUAGCUUGCUACUUUGCCGGCGAGCGGCGGACGGGUGAGUAAUGUCCGGGAAACUGCCUGAUGGAGGGGGAUAACUACUGGAAACGGUAGCUAAUACCGCAUAAUGUCGCAAGACCAAAGAGGGGGACCUUCGGGCCUCUUGCCAUCGGAUGUGCCCCGAUGGGAUUAGCUAGUAGGUGGGGUAACGGCUCACCUAGGCGACGUUCCCUAGCUGGUCUGCGAGGAUGACCAGCCACAGUGGAAAUAAGACACGGUCCAGCCUCCUACGGGAGGCAGCAGUGGGGAAUAGUGCACGGUGGGCGCAAGCCUGAUGCAGCCAUGCCGCGUGUAUGAAGAAGGCCUUCGGGUUGUAAAGUACUUUCAGCGGGGAGGAAGGUGCUGAGGUUAAUAACCUCAGCAAUUGACGUUACCCGCAGAAGAAGCACCGGCUAACUCCGUGCCAGCAGCCGCAGUAACAC